GACGAACGCUGGCGGCGUGCUUAACACAUGCAAGUCGAACGGUAAGGCCCUUCGGGGUACACGAGUGGCGAACGGGUGAGUAACACGUGGGUGAUCUGCCCUGCACUUCGGGAUAAGCCUGGGAAACUGGGUCUAAUACCGGAUAGGACCACUGCCUGCAUGGGUGGUGGUGGAAAGCUUUUGCGGUGUGGGAUGGGCCCGCGGCCUAUCAGCUUGUUGGUGGGGUGAUGGCCUACCAAGGCGACGACGGGUAGCCGGCCUGGGAGGGUGACCGGCCAGACUGGGACUGAGAUACGGCCCAGACUCCUACGGGAGGCAGCAGUGGGGAAUAUUGCACAAUGGGCGCAAGCCUGAUGCAGCGACGCCGCGUGAGGGAUGACGGCCUUCGGGUUGUAAACCUCUUUCGGCACAGACGAAGCGCAAGUGACGGUAGGUGCAGAAGAAGGACCGGCCAACUACGUGCCAGCCGCCGCAGUAA
rnacentral:rRNA from 1 species